GAUGAACGCUGGCGGCGUGCCUAAUACAUGCAAGUCGAGCGAACAGACGAGGAGCUUGCUUCUCUGAUGUUAGCGGCGGACGGGUGAGUAACACGUGGAUAACCUACCUAUAAGACUGGGAUAACUUCGGGAAACCGUAGCUAAUACCGGAUAAUAUAUUGAACCGCAUGGUUCAAUAGUGAAAGACGGUUUUGCUGUCACUUAUAGAUGGAUCCGCGCUGCAUUAGCUAGUUGGUAAGGUAACGGCUUACCAAGGCAACGAUGCGUAGCCGACCUGAGAGGGUGAUCGGCCACACUGGAACUGAGACACGGUCCAGACUCCUACGGGAGGCAGCAGUAGGGAAUCUUCCGCAAUGGGCGAAAGCCUGACGGAGCAACGCCGCGUGAGUGAUGAAGGUCUUCGGAUCGUAAAACUCUGUUAUUAGGGAAGAACAUAUGUGUAAGUAACUGUGCACAUCUUGACGGUACCUAAUCAGAAAGCCACGGCUAACUACGUG
rnacentral:rRNA from 1 species